AUUGAACGCUGGCGGCAUGCCUAACACAUGCAAGUCGAGCGGAGAGGCGGACGGGUGAGUAAUGCCUAGGAAUCUGCCUGGUACUGGGGGAUAACGUCCGUAAAAGGGCGCUAAUACCGCAUACUAUCAGAACAGCCGAGGUCGGAUUAGCGAGUUGGUGGGGUAAAGGCCUACCAAGGAGACGAGCCGUAACUGGUCUGAGAGGAUGACCAGUCACAUUGGAACUGAGACACGGUCUAGACUCCUACGGGAGGCAGCAGUGGGGAAUAUUGGACAAUGGGCGAAAGUCUGAUCCAGCAAUGCCGCGUGAGUGAAGAAGGUCUUCGGAUUGUAAAGCACUUUAAGUUGGGAGGCGUUACCAACAGAAUAAGCACCGGCUAACUUCGUGCCAGCAGCCGCGGUAAUUC
rnacentral:rRNA from 1 species